UACGAAGGGGGCUAGCGUUGCUCGGAAUCACUGGGCGUAAAGGGCGCGUAGGCGGCCUCUGCAAGUCGACUGUGAAAUCUCCGGGCUUAACCCGGAACGGUCAGCCGAUACUGCAGGGCUAGAGUGCAGAAGGGGCAACUGGAAUUCUCGGUGUAGCGGUGAAAUGCGUAGAUAUCGAGAGGAACACCUGCGGCGAAGGCGGGUUGCUGGGCUGACACUGACGCUGAGGCGCGAAAGCUAGGGGAGCGAACGGG
rnacentral:rRNA from 1 species